rnacentral:lncRNA from 10 species
UCCAGAUCCCUGACUCCCUCCCCAGCUCUCGGGUCUGCAGGAUCCCUCUGGAUUGCAGCUGAGAGGAGUUCCCCAGCAGGCAGGGACCCCACGAGACAAGACGCAGCUUUGGAAGGCCCCCAGCUCUGAGGGGUGGCGCUGGCCUCCUCGAUGCUCCUGGCCUCUGCUGGCCUCCUCCUGGGCCUCCUCUGGUGCUGUUGCUCUCCCAGCUGGCUGGCCUGGCAACCUGGUGCCCGUGGCCUCUGCCUCCACUGCAGCACAGCCUGUACCACGUGCUACCCAUGUCCCAGCCAGGUCUCCCCAGGGGGCUGCAGUUGAGUGGCCCAGCCUUAUAGGAUCAGGGAGGCCAUCCCUAGAGGGGCUUCGGGCACAUGGGAAUGAUACUAGGCUCUGGGGUCAGACUCUUUGGGUUCUAACCCCCUGGCUCUCUGUCUGAUGUUGGACAGGCCCCCUAACCCUCUGAGACUCAGCUGCCCCUCUAGAAAAUAGGACAAUUCCUGCCUCACAGGGUUGGGGGCCUGGGGGCCUCGCUGAUCCCAAGCCAGCUUGCUUCACCCCCAGAUCUCACCUGCCCUGCUCUGCCCCAUCCACAGGCUCCACUGAGUGAAGCCCUCAUCAAAGACUCAGGAGGCCCCUGGCGGGGAUAGCACCGUUUAUUAAGAAAAAUCAAGACAAAGACCACAGGAGGGUCCCUUCUAGGACACAGAGGCCAGGCGUCCCAACCCCACAGUCUGGGGGCCACUGGCAGGAUGGCACUUGAGCUGGAUCUUCAGGCUCCUGCAGAUGGGGCAGGGUGGUCAUAUCCCCCUCCUCUCUCUCUCAGUCGUGAGUCCUGCCUUCCCCCACCUAAGGCACUAGCUCUUCCUGAGCACCAGCGGCAUCCGUCCGUCCGUUGUCUGUUGGAGGAGUCCCUGGGCCUUCACUUCCAGAUGGGUGGGGA